UACGGGGGGGGCAAGCGUUGUUCGGAAUUACUGGGCGUAAAGGGUUUGUAGGUGGCCCGCUAAGUCACACGUGAAAUCCCUCAGCUUAACUGGGGAACUGCGUGUGAGACUGGCAGGCUCGAGGGCAGGAGAGGAACGCGGAAUUCCAGGUGUAGCGGUGAAAUGCGUAGAUAUCUGGAGGAACACCGGUGGCGAAGGCGGCGUUCUGGACUGUCCCUGACACUGAAGAACGAAAGCCAGGGGAGCAAACGGG
rnacentral:rRNA from 1 species